CAGUAGCCGCGGUAAUACGUAGGUGGCAAGCGUUGUCCGGAAUUAUUGGGCGUAAAAGGCUCGCAGGCGGUUUCUUAAGUCUGAUGUGAAAGCCCCCGGCUCAACCGGGGAGGGUCAUUGGAAACUGGGAAACUUGAGUGCAGAAGAGGAGAGUGGAAUUCCACGUGUAGCGGUGAAAUGCGUAGAGAUGUGGAGGAACACCAGUGGCGAAGGCGACUCCCUGGUCUGUAACUGACGCUGAGGAGCGAAAGCGUGGGGAGCGAACAGGAUUAGAUACCCGAGUAGUCCCUGUCUCUUAUAC
rnacentral:rRNA from 1 species